rnacentral:rRNA from 1 species
CGAGUUAUCUGAACCUUCGGGGAACGAUAACGGCGUCGAGCGGCGGACGGGUGAGUAAUGCCUAGGAAAUUGCCCUGAUGUGGGGGAUAACCAUUGGAAACGAUGGCUAAUACCGCAUGAUGCCUACGGGCCAAAGAGGGGGACCUUCGGGCCUCUCGCGUCAGGAUAUGCCUAGGUGGGAUUAGCUAGUUGGUGAGGUAAGGGCUCACCAAGGCGACGAUCCCUAGCUGGUCUGAGAGGAUGAUCAGCCACACUGGAACUGAGACACGGUCCAGACUCCUACGGGAGGCAGCAGUGGGGAAUAUUGCACAAUGGGCGCAAGCCUGAUGCAGCCAUGCCGCGUGUGUGAAGAAGGCCUUCGGGUUGUAAAGCACUUUCAGUCGUGAGGAAGGUAGUGUAGUUAAUAGCUGCAUUAUUUGACGUUAGCGACAGAAGAAGCACCGGCUAACUCCGUGCCAGCAGCCGCGGUAAUACGGAGGGUGCGAGCGUUAAUCGGAAUUACUGGGCGUAAAGCGCAUGCAGGUGGUUUGUUAAGUCAGAUGUGAAAGCCCGGGGCUCAACCUCGGAAUAGCAUUUGAAACUGGCAGACUAGAGUACUGUAGAGGGGGGUAGAAUUUCAGGUGUAGCGGUGAAAUGCGUAGAGAUCUGAAGGAAUACCGGUGGCGAAGGCGGCCCCCUGGACAGAUACUGACACUCAGAUGCGAAAGCGUGGGGAGCAAACAGGAUUAGAUACCCUGGUAGUCCACGCCGUAAACGAUGUCUACUUGGAGGUUGUGGCCUUGAGCCGUGGCUUUCGGAGCUAACGCGUUAAGUAGACCGCCUGGGGAGUACGGUCGCAAGAUUAAAACUCAAAUGAAUUGACGGGGGCCCGCACAAGCGGUGGAGCAUGUGGUUUAAUUCGAUGCAACGCGAAGAACCUUACCUACUCUUGACAUCCAGAGAACUUUCCAGAGAUGGAUUGGUGCCUUCGGGAACUCUGAGACAGGUGCUGCAUGGCUGUCGUCAGCUCGUGUUGUGAAAUGUUGGGUUAAGUCCCGCAACGAGCGCAACCCUUAUCCUUGUUUGCCAGCGAGUAAUGUCGGGAACUCCAGGGAGACUGCCGGUGAUAAACCGGAGGAAGGUGGGGACGACGUCAAGUCAUCAUGGCCCUUACGAGUAGGGCUACACACGUGCUACAAUGGCGCAUACAGAGGGCGGCCAACUUGCGAAAGUGAGCGAAUCCCAAAAAGUGCGUCGUAGUCCGGAUUGGAGUCUGCAACUCGACUCCAUGAAGUCGGAAUCGCUAGUAAUCGUGGAUCAGAAUGCCACGGUGAAUACGUUCCCGGGCCUUGUACACACCGCCCGUCACACCAUGGGAGUGGGCUGCAAAAGAAGUAGGUAG